rnacentral:lncRNA from 1 species
CCGAAUUAGAAAUCAAACCCUGUUUUCUACUGCGCAAGCUGCAAUCUUCUUCUUCAGACCAGAAUCUUACACCCCUCACCGAUUCAAGAGUUAUGCUGGGACAAUGAAGCUAAAAGCUAAAGAGGCAGACUUAAAGGGUCUAUGAGUAAGUGCUUUGAAAGACAGUAAAUAUUUCGGAGGAAAUAGGUAGAUAUGAAAGAAAAGAAGCAAGCAAAGCAUAUACAGUAUACUCCUAUAUAAUUUGAUCUCCUGUCUCCGGUGGGCAAGAUAAAGAAUUUCCACUAUUGAUGUUGCAUAAAGAAUUUUAGGGCAUCCAACUGCAUUGAAGCAUUGCCCCAAAGCUUCGAUGACUUUAUGUAAACAAAGAAAAAUUGAGCAUUUGUCGAGUUAUGGAAAGCGUGUUUCUGGAUCCUUGGUUUAAUUUGUGGAUUAAUCAGUUUGCUGGAUUUCUGUUUGUCGGUACCGCCAUAGUAAGAUUUCUUGGGUAAUGUUGCUUUUCAGAAAAUUGUGGGGAUGUGUUUUUGGUAUUGUUUUGCGGAAAUCUGUUGGGAUGUGUUCCUAUUAUCAAUGUUGCUGGAUUUUUGGUGUUGAUUUCUUCAAGGGGAAGAAGAUGAAGGGGCGGGUGGCGGUGGCUCUCUGGCUUUGGUUUUGGGUGUGGGUGUAAAGAGAAGAAAAUUUUGGUUUUGGUUUUUUAUUAUUUUGUUUUUUUAAUGUUUUAUUUUUAAGGGGAAAAAUGCGAUCCGGC